UNGUAAGGACGAACUAGGCCCAUUCCUGU
rnacentral:piRNA from 1 species